UACGAAGGGGGCUAGCGUUGCUCGGAAUCACUGGGCGUAAAGAGCUCGUAGGCGGUCUGUCGCGUCGGCUGUGAAAACCCGGAGCUCAACUCCGGGCCUGCAGUCGAUACGGGCAGACUGGAGUUCGGCAGGGGAGACUGGAAUUCCUGGUGUAGCGGUGAAAUGCGCAGAUAUCAGGAGGAACACCGGUGGCGAAGGCGGGUCUCUGGGCCGAUACUGACGCUGAGGAGCGAAAGCGUGGGGAGCGAACAGG
rnacentral:rRNA from 1 species